UACGUAGGGGGGCAAGCGUUGUCCGGAUUUAUUGGGCGUAAAGAGCGUGUAGGCGGCCAGAUAGGUCCGUUGUGAAAACCCGGAGGCCUCAACCUCGGGCCUGCAGUGGGUACGGGCAGACUAGAGUGCGGUAGGGGAGAUUGGAAUUCCUGGUGUAGCGGUGGAAUGCGCAGAUAUCAGGAGGAACACCAAUGGCGAAGGCAGAUCUCUGGGCCGUAACUGACGCUGAGGAGCGAAAGCAUGGGGAGCGAACAGG
rnacentral:rRNA from 1 species